rnacentral:rRNA from 1 species
AUUGAACGCUGGCGGCAUGCUUUACACAUGCAAGUCGAACGGUCCCCUUGUGCUUGCACCGCUGACGAGUGUCGAACGGGUGAGUAAUGCGUCGGAACGUGCCGAGUAGUGGGGGAUACCUCAGCGAAAGUUGUACUAAUACCGCAUACGUACUGAGGUAGAAAGUGGGGGACCUUCGGUGCUCACGCUAUUCGAGCGGCCGACGUCUGAUUAGCUAGUAGGUGAGGUAAAGGCUCACCUAGGCGACGAUCAGUAGCGGGUCUGAGAGGAUGAGCCGCCACACGGGGACUGAGACACGGCCCAGACUCCUACGGGAGGCAGCAGUGGGGAAUUUUGCAAAAGGUGCGAAAGCCUGAUCCAGCCAUGCCGCGUGUCUGACAACACACUUCGGGUGGGAGAGGACUUUUGUCAGGGAGGAAAUCCCUACGUCUAAUCAAACUGGGGGAUGACAGUACCUGAAGAAUAAGCACCGGCUAACUAAGAGCCAGCCGCCGCCGUAA